CUCUUUCCCUCCAGACACUCACCUGGAUCCCAGACUCCUUCUUCUCCAGCCUCCUGAGCGGGCGCAUCUCCACCCUGAAAGACGAGACUGGAGCCAUCUUCAUCGACAGGGACCCCACAGUCUUUGCCCCCAUUCUCAACUUCCUGCGCACCAAAGAACUGGACCCUAGGGGUGUCCAUGGUUCCAGCCUCCUCCA